rnacentral:rRNA from 1 species
AUGAACGCUGGCGGCGUGCUUAACACAUGCAAGUCGAACGGACGCUUUGGGAAACUGGAGCGUUAGUGGCAAACGGGUGCGUAACACGUGGGUGACCUACCUCAAAGUUGGGAAAAACAGACCGAAAGGUUUGCUAAUGCCGCAUAGGCUCGGUCCUUCAUUGGGCAGAGUAAAGCCGCAAGGCGCUUUGAGAGGGGCCUGCGUCCAAUCAGGUAGUUGGUGAGGUAACGGCCCACCAAGCCGAUGACGGGUAGCUGGUCUGAGAGGACGAUCAGCCACACUGGCACUGAGAUACGGGCCAGACUCCUACGGGAGGCAGCAGUGAGGAAGAGUGCGCAAGGGGCGAAAGCCUGACGCAGCGACGCCGCGUGGGCGACGAAGGCCUUCGGGUCGUAAAGCCCUUUUGGUGAGGACGAGUGAGGACGGUACUCAUCGAAUAAGUCUCGGCUAACUACGU